AGUAAAUGGUUGGAAAAUAUUUACGAAGAUGUUUGUGGAGCGGCUCUAGUGACCGUUUCAAGAAAAAACAAAGGUGACACCGCAGUCUCCGAUAAACCAGGAUCUUAAAGUCUCCGAUAGUGGCUGGGUGAACAUUCCCCAGGACCUCACGCCCUCUCUUUGGUCUCCAAUGCUAAUAUGCAGUUCCAUAAAAAAAAAAAAAAAAAAAGCUAACACCCCCCUGAAAAAAAAAAAUCCUUUAAAUUACUUUUGAAGUAAGUAAUGGGAACCAGGAGAGAGUGAAUAGAGAAAGCCUCAAUGAAAAUGGAAAGCAGGUAUAGAAAACCGUGCAUCAGCAGCAAAAAGGGGGAACCAGAUAGCAUUCAGUUCAUAUGCAGUGGGGCUAGAGCUACAAUUUCAAAGAGUAGAAAAUAUUUUUUAUGGGACGCCGCGGAUUUGAUUGUAAGGACAGCGGACGCUAAAAUGCAAAUAGCUCUAAGAACAUUUUUUUUUAAA